GAAUAUUGGUCAAUGGGCGCAAGCCUGAACCAGCCAUGCCGCGUGCAGGAUGACGCAUCUAUGGUGUGUAAACUGCUUUUGUACAGGAAGAAACAUCCCGACGAGUCGGGACUUGACGGUACUGUAAGAAUAAGGAUCGGCUAACUCCGUGCCAGCAGCCGCGGUAAUACGGAGGAUCCAAGCGUUAUCCGGAAUCAUUGGGUUUAAAGGGUCCGUAGGCGGCCUUAUAAGCCAGCGGUGAAAGUUUUUGGCUUAACCAAAAAAUUGCCAUUGAUACUGUAGGGCUUGAAUGUUUGUGAAGUAACUAGAAUAUGUAGUGGAGCGGUGAAAUGCUUAGAUAUUACAUGGAAUACCAAUUGCGAAGGCAGGUUACUAACAAACGAUUGACGCUGAUGGACGAAAGCGUGGGUAGCGAACAGG
rnacentral:rRNA from 1 species